UACGUAGGGCGCAAGCGUUAUCCGGAAUUACUGGGCGUAAAGCGUGCGCAGGCGGUUUGUUAAGACAGGUGUGAAAUCCCCGGGCUCAACCUGGGAAUGGCGCUUGUAACUGGCAGGCUAGAGUGUGUCAGAGGGAGGUAGAAUUCCACGUGUAGCAGUGAAAUGCGUAGAGAUGUGGAGGAAUACCGAUGGCGAAGGCAGGUCUCUGGGCUGACACGUGACGCUCAUGCACGAAAGCGUGGGGAGCAAACAGG
rnacentral:rRNA from 1 species